rnacentral:lncRNA from 1 species
CUUGUGCCACGGUGGCCCAAAUGUCAGUCAACCAGACAUGUCUUCUGAGAGGUAAGUUUUUGAAAAAUACUAGACUUUUCUCAAAUGUAUUUCUUUACAGGAAUAAAAAGAAAGCUAAUUUUGCAUGAGCAUGCAGGAAGUCUGCAGACAGACAUUCUACAUAGUCCCUUGGGGACUCAGUAGAAGUGGAAUCAAGACCAACCCAAGCCCAACAAGGCAGCUCCGCUGGUUAAUGCCUCCCAGAUCUGUCAUCUGUGAUAAAGAGCCUCGCUGUAGCUGAGGAGCUGGCCAAGAACCUUUCCCAGUUAGCCAAGUUCGUGAAGAAGUCACAUGUGGUGAAUAUAUUAUCAUCAGAAUGCGGAGCAAUGAAAUGUAAACAGAUAGGAAUCGUCACUAAAGCUCCAACUGCAGCCUCCGGGUGCCAUAGCUUUUGCACCAUCCAUUUGCACCAUCUCUGCAGUAAGUCCUAGCUCAAGCCUUACUCCAAAGUACAAAUUAGCAUAGCAGCUCAGUCAACAAUGCCUCCGAGCUUCUGGAAAGAAAGAUGCUCAGUCACCAUAGACCCAGAAUUAAUGAAAAGUCACAGAAAUAAUAGCUCCAUUCUCUACUUGCUUCUGAACCUCAAAUCAGUGGUUGGCAACAAGUUGCUCUCAAUCACUGCCACGAGUCUGGUGAUGCGCUAAGCUCGGGGCAGGAUCUCAAGGGCUUUGAGGUAAAUAAGGUACCCUCUGUGGGCUCUGUUUCAAUUAGAUGCUAGAGCAAUUGUCAUCAUUUUAGAGAACAAAGAUACUGUGAUCGAAAACCGUGAAGGCUGCUGUCUAUGUCAUGCUUGUCCCUAGUUUACAUGCAUUUUCCAGAUAACCAAAUCCAAUAAGCCCUGAGUGCACCCUGAUCCCCUCUCCACUCCCGUGUCAGCUCCAAAUGGAUGGAAGAUGACAGGAAGGAACUAGCUGGGACACAGAGCAAAACUUCUAGAGUUAAUGAGACAGUAACUCUCAUCUUAGUUCCUGAUGACUAGGAGCAUAUGAUUUUCCUGAGGGACCUGUUAAACAAGUCCCAUCUCUCUUGAGUUUCAGCUUACAUAGCCAGAAAAUAAAUCCUUUCCCUGUUCCAAGCAAAGUACUAGGACAUCUUGCUUCUCUUGCCUCUACAGACAGCAAGAUGACUUCAUGGCUUUCUCUUUCACCACAGUCACUGGUGCUCAGUACAAAUGAGACUCACCUUAGAAAGAAAGAAAAGAAAGAAAGAAAGAGAAAAAGAGGGG